UGGGGGAUAUUGCACAAUGGGCGCAAGCCUGAUGCAGCGACGCCGCGUGGGGGAUGAAGGCCUUCGGGUUGUAAACUUCUUUUGCUCUGAACAAGGCGCACUUUGGGGUGUGUUGAGUGUAGGGGUUGAUUAGCGCCGGCUAACUACGUGCCAGCAGCCGCGGUAAUACGUAGGGCGCGAGCGUUGUCCGGAAUUAUUGGGCGUAAAGGGCUUGUAGGUGGCUGGUUGCGUCUGUCGUGAAAGCUCAUGGCUUAACUGUGGGUUUGCGGUGGGUACGGGCUGGCUUGAGGGCAGUAGGGGAGGCUGGAAUUCCUGGGGUAGCGGUGGAAUGCGCAGAUAUCAGGAGGAAUACCGGUGGCGAAGGCGGGUCUCUGGGCUGUUACUGACACUGAGGAGCGAAAGCAUGGGGAGCGAACAGG
rnacentral:rRNA from 1 species